ensembl:lncRNA
CCUCUGUCUCACGGGCUGGGGUGGCAUCCGAACAAUUUCCAAAGGGCGAGUGGAGUUGAUUUUUCACCCUGUACUUUAUUGGGAAGUUUUGGUUGACUUGGGGAGCUGGUGUGAACAGGAACCAGAGGCACUCCGGAGGUUGCCUGGAUUGGGGAGGGGUGGGUGAGUGCACUUGCGCGCGCGUGCGUUUGUGUGUGUGUGUGUGUGUGUGUGCGGUGUAGGGAGGCGGGGGGCGGGGGGUGAGGGCCUGGGCGGGGGCGGGGGCGCGGCUCCGUGUUAAGCAGCACCGUGGCGGUUCCACGCUGAGUGCAGCGUGCUCGGCUCUCUCGUUGCAGGGUGUCAGGCAGAGUGGAAGGAGAGGAGGAGAAGGGAAGUCGGGGACGUCGGUCAUGUCUAGGCGCUGGUGUUCUGGGGUGUCAGGCAGAGUGGAAGGAGAGGAGGAGAAGGGAAGUCGGGGACGUCGGUCAUGUCUAGGCGCUGGUGUUCUGGGGUGUCAGGCAGAGUGGAAGGAGAGGAGGAGAAGGGAAGUCGGGGACGUCGGUCAUGUCUAGGCGCUGGUGUUCUGGUGGCCCCAGCUAAGAAUUUGGAAGGGUGAAAAGAAAGUUAUUUUUUCUCCCUUACACUGGUAAAAUGAUAGCUGCAAGGAUGUCUGUCACGGGACAAUAAAGUGAAAAAUUUACCAUUCA